rnacentral:rRNA from 1 species
UACGUAGGGGGCAAGCGUUGUCCGGAAUCAUUGGGCGUAAAGCGCAUGUAGGCGGCCCGGUAAGUCCGCUGUGAAAGUCGGGGGCUCAACCCUCGAAUGCCGGUGGAUACUGUCGGGCUAGAGUGCGGGAGAGGCGAGUGGAAUUCCUGGUGUAGCGGUGAAAUGCGCAGAUAUCAGGAGGAACACCAAUUGCGAAGGCAGCUCGCUGGAACGUAACUGACGCUGAGACGCGAAAGCGUGGGGAGCAAACAGG